rnacentral:rRNA from 1 species
GACGGAAGGUGCAAGCGUUGCUCGGAAUCACUGGGCGUAAAGGGUGCGUAGGCGGCCGUGCAAGUCUGGCGUGAAAGCCCCGGGCUCAGCCCGGGAAGUGCGCUCGAAACUGCGCGGCUCGAGUGCCGGAGGGGAGAGUGGAAUUCCUGGUGUAGCGGUGAAAUGCGCAGAUAUCAGGAGGAACACCGGUGGCGAAGGCGGGUCUCUGGGCAGUAACUGACGCUGAGGAGCGAAAGCGUGGGGAGCGAACAGG